GAUGAACGCUGGCGGCGUGCCUAAUACAUGCAAGUCGAGCGAACAGACGAGGAGCUUGCUCCUCUGACGUUAGCGGCGGACGGGUGAGUAACACGUGGAUAACCUACCUAUAAGACUGGGAUAACUUCGGGAAACCGGAGCUAAUACCGGAUAAUAUAUUGAACCGCAUGGUUCAAUAGUGAAAGGCGGUUUUGCUGUCACUUAUAGAUGGAUCCGCGCCGCAUUAGCUAGUUGGUAAGGUAACGGCUUACCAAGGCAACGAUGCGUAGCCGACCUGAGAGGGUGAUCGGCCACACUGGAACUGAGACACGGUCCAGACUCCUACGGGAGGCAGCAGUAGGGAAUCUUCCGCAAUGGGCGAAAGCCUGACGGAGCAACGCCGCGCGAGUGAUGAAGGUCUUCGGAUCGUAAAACUCUGUUAUUAGGGAAGAACAAAUGUGUAAGUAACUAUGCACGUCUUGACGGUACCUAAUCAGAAAGCCACGGCUAACUACGUG
rnacentral:rRNA from 1 species